UUAGAACGCGUUCCAAUGGAAUACUUUAAGCUGUGCAGCUCAGAUAAUUUUUUUGUUGGUUUGUAGAAGUGGCGGUUGGUCGAUAUUUCACAACGGAUAGCAAUUGUUUUAUCAAAAUGUCUUGUUUUCUCUUCAGACGAAAGAACCCCAUGAAGGAAACACUUGAGGUUGAUUUAGAGAUGGAGGAGAAAAAGAGGCAGAAGGAGGAGAAAAGGAAGGAGAAAGAGGAGAAAAAGAGGAAGAAAGAGGAGAGAAAGAAGAAAAGGUGCCGGAUCGGCUCCUUUUUUAAAGCGUUGUUCUGCUUCACUCUGGAUGUGGAGGAGGAGGAAAAGAAGGAAAAUGAGAACAUAAUGGUGGUGGAGGUGGAGGAGGAGAAAAAUUCAGAUUCAAAAUCAUCCUCCAUUCCAGCAGACCAAGCCACUGAUGAUGAUCAAGAGGAGAUCAUGCAGGAGGAAGAGGAGAAAGUUGAGGAAGAGGAGGUGAAAAUGGUGGAGAAAAAGAAAAGGAAGACUAGACGAGGGAGGAGAGGAAGGAACAAAAAGAAAGAGGAGGCAAUGGAGGAGGAGGACAAUAGAAUUGAGGAAGAAGAGGAGAUGAAGGAGGCAAUGGUAGAGGAGGAGAAGAAAACUACAAUGAAAGAGAAGGAGGAGGAGGAAAUGGAUACAACUGAGAUGGUGGAGAAGAAGAUGGCAGAGGUGAACACCGAGGAGGAGGAGGAGGACAAUAGAAUUGAGGAAGAAGAGGAGAUGA
rnacentral:lncRNA from 1 species